UACGAAGGGUGCUAGCGUUGUUCGGAAUUACUGGGCGUAAAGCGCGCGUAGGCGGUCUGUCAAGUCAGGGGUGAAAUCCUGGGGCUUAACCCCAGAAUUGCCUUUGAAACUGUCAGACUGGAGUGUCGGAGGGGAUAGCGGAAUUGCUAAUGUAGAGGUGAAAUUCGUAGAUAUUAGCAGGAACACCGGUGGCGAAGGCGGCUAUCUGGACGACAACUGACGCUGAGGCGCGAAAGCGUGGGGAUCAAACAGG
rnacentral:rRNA from 1 species